CGUUCAUAACAUAUUCUACAUUUGGGAACAUAACACUGUAUUGAAAUCAAAUGUUUCACAGAUGAGAAUUUGCAGAAUGUCGGCCAAAAUCCAUAUAGUUUCAUCUCUCAGUUCCGGCCAGUGGGGCAUCCUCUCACUACCAUAUUUGGUAGUGAAGGAAACUUCAAGCGGAUGCUUCACAUUUUUACAUCCAGUGAUGGAGCCCAGUUUGACUGGCAUGUUCACGAGCAAGCGGUAAAUUGCCCGGUGCCUCUUAGGCCGCCCAUUGUGAAUCGCCUGUGGGCGUGCUGGCAGCAUAUAAUACCUUUUUGAUUGAGCGUCAAUAAUUCAACAUAUGAAGUAUGUAUUGAAGGUCUGGUUAUUAAAUGCCUAAAUAGUUCAAUGGUAAUAUGCUUUAAGACGCUCUGGUGACGAACACACUUUGCUUCCCUGUUUCCAAUUGUCCACAUGGAUGGGAUAACCUAUUCAAGUAAGUAACGUUAAAUACAUUUCGAAAAUGUAAAAAAACGAUUUAUUAUUAGCUAGCUACAGUGCAGGCUAACUCAUAAGCUGCUAAAUGAGCUAGCCAACCUGACAUAAUGUAAAGAUGGCUAGCUAAGUGAAUUAAAUAUCACCAGCUACCUAACUUCAUAUCAGCUAGCUAUCUUGAUGUAUUCAUCACUGUAAAAACACAAACUCCAAAUGCAUUUGUAGGUAAGCUAGCUAACAACCAUGGAGGUGGGUGAAAAGAUAGCAGCCCCUACUCUCUCUGGAUAGGGAAGUACUUGUGUAGUUCCAGUCCCUAGAAGUGAGGCUGGAGAUAAUAGUAACAUAAUAUUUUCAGUGCGGUGUAAUGAAGUCUGUUUCUUGUGAGGUUUUCUGUCAUCAGAUAAAGAGAGCUAUGAAAGCCUGUCUAGAGAUGAAGAGGUCCCAAUGAAGGGCAGCGAUUCAAAGUCCUGGCCCUUGGGACUCAAAGGGGUGCACGUUUUGCUGAUACAAAUGAUCAACUCUUCAUCAAACUUCAAGUGAUACCUUGUAACUGGAGAUUUUUUUUCAAAACGAUUGCCUACAGUUAAGAUGUAGGGCACUGCAAGGUUGGGUGACCAGGACCACCUGGGACUGCCUCCUGGAGGAAUUCAGGUGUGUGAAGGCUAACUGUGCUGUCCUGCAUAACUUCAUGAGAAUGGACACGAGGACCAGGAGGGGAUCUGCAGCUCGCCGCUGUGUGCCAGAGGAGAAGUCUACUGCUCUGCAGGAUGUUUCAAGGAUGGGGUCCAACAACGCAGCAAGAGGCAAUCCGUGUGCGGGAGAUCUUCACCUCCAACUUCUUCGAAGAGGGUGCUGUUCCUUGGCAACACUAUAGACAACACUAUGCACAACCAAAGGAUCUUUUAAGAGCCAUCCACAUUACAAUAAGAGUAUUCUUCCAUUUAACUUAGCGAUGUCAACUGCAGUUAUUACAUUCCCAGUUUCUCUCCCUUUGAUUUCUACUUCUCAGGUGUGGAUGCUUUUUAGGUAAGGGUGUAAUGCCAAAACAAAAACAGGCUAUUUUAAGUCGCCCAUAUUGAAAACAAUAGAACAAUUCGACACCCUUAUAACCUACACACUCAUGUAUCAAUCUGCUUGAUGGAUUGUGUUGUGCAGUAAGCAGGCUCAGGUGUAUACCUAGCUCCUUCCACCACUUCCUUAUUUCUAUAACUACGCAAUAUUGUUUGUCCUCGUGUGUCUGUGUGUAACAGUAUAGCUUCCCAUCCAUCUCCUCGCCCCAACCUGGGCUCAAACCUCUGCACAGAUCAACAGUCACCCUCGAAGCAUCGUUACCCAUCGCUUCACAAAAGCCGCAGCCCUUGCAGAGCAAGGGGAACCACUACUUCAAGGUCUCAGAGCAAGUGACGUCACCGAUUGAAACGCUAUUAGCGCGCACCACCGCUAACUAGCUAGCCAUUUCACAUCGGUUACAUGUGCAUGUUUUUCAGCAUAAAGUACUCUGCAGCCACUUAGUGUGGACACCAGGUGAGGCCUCACACACAGAUUCCUGUUGAACACUGUCUAUUUAACUACCUUAUUUUCUCAAUAAGUCUUUCCCUUCACUUCAUCCCUCUCUCCCCCCUUCUCCCUAAAUCCUCUAAGUAAUAUCAGCUGUGUCUGUGAACCCUUCCCGCAUCUGAACUGGCUACACAGAAGGCACAGCAUGAUCAGAGUUGAGGUCACUUGGUCGGGUCAACAGGAACUAUUAUUAAAGAGAUGCUUUACAUUGAAAUAGAGAUGUAGUAGUCCCAGAAUUAAUGAUCCAAGGUCCGUUUUGCAAUUCACCUCCAGAUGAUUAUGAUGACUGACAGUAAGAAUAAAUUUAAAAAACACAAGGCUUAAACAUGCAAGCUGUCUGUCUCAUCUGCAGUUAUGUUUUGAUGUGAAAGAGGAUGCCAACCCCCAGUCCUGUCAUCACUGCUGGCUUGCUUCUGAAGCUAAACAGCGUUGGUCCUGGUCAGUUCCUGGAUGGGAGACCAGAUGGUGUUGGAGGGUCAGUAGGAGGCACACUUUCCUCUGGUCUAAAAAAUAUCCCAAUGCCGCAGGGUGCCAUCUUUCGGAUGGGACGUUAAAUGGUUGUCCUGCCUCUCUGAGGUCAUUAAAGAUCCCAUGGCACUUAUCGUAAGAGUAGGGGUGUUAACCCCGGUGUCCUGGCUAAAUUCCCAAGCUGGCCCUCAAACCAUCACGGUCACCUAAUAAUCCCCUGUUUACAAUUGGCUCAUUAAUCCCCCUCCUCUCCCCUGUAACUAUUCCCCAGGUCAUUGCUGCAAAUGAGAAUGUGUUCUCAGUCAACUUACCUGGUAAAAUAACAUAAAUAAAAUCACCACCUCACCCAUUCUUAAGAUAACCUUCAGGCUGACUGGGAGCCCAAGGCCGGUUAGGAGACACCACUGGAGACACUAUUAUGUAAUUGUAAUGAACUGGGAGAAUAUUAGGGUAGCACAGUGAUUCAUUAAUCAUAUGCUGUCUUCUCUGUUCUUACCCCUUUCCCUUUCUGUCUUUUACACGUCUAUCGCCACCUCUCUCUUCCUGUUUUUAUUAUUAUACAAUAGUUUCGUCCAGUGUAGGCCGUCAUUGUAAAUAAGAAUUUGUUCUUAACUGACUUGCCUAGUAAAAAAAAAAGAAUGGUUUCAGCUGCUGAUUUUCAGUUCUGUUUAAGUAGUCAGGGACACUCCCAUUCUGACAAAGCUAACAACUAGAUGGCAGCAUUGCAACCUUUUGAGUUGCCUGACAGCAAUGGAUAAUGUCUUGGCUUGUGUUUAUAUAGGCUAGACUAGGGGCCCAGAUUCACAAAACACUUAUUACGCAAAAACUUAAGAAGCUGCUUAUUAAGAAAUGGAAAAAAGUUCAUAAGUGCAGUUCCUCAACAGUAUCUUAAGAUUUUAUGUCAUUAAAUAUCCAUCUUCUUACAAAUCAUCCUAAAAUGUUUGUUGCUAGGCAACCGAUUUAGAUAGCUAUCUAGCUAGCAAUGGCAAUCAUGUUUGCAUAUUUCCUACUUAGAUUACGGUUCUAAAACAUGUUCUUGGGUUUAAAAUAGUCAAUACUGAAACUUUCAGACGAUGUUUGUGAGUGAAUUAAACAUGUUCAAUUGCUUCCAUGAGCUUAUUCUCUCACUGCCCAGAGUUUAAUUUGUAAACUUGGAAAAGAGAGAACAACCUCACAUAACCAAGUGCUGAUUUUGCUGGCACGCACAACUCAUUCAGUAGAGCAGCAAUGAUGGCCUAUUCACAUACUUGAGGGAAAUGUUGAGGAUAGAUGUCUUUUUGACCAGUGUGUCCUACUCAUUUCAAGUAUACUUAAUUGUCCUCUCUUUAGUAGCUAUGUUCUUGUUUUUACUGGUCACACCUCAACAAGUCUGUUGACUGAGAACACAUUUUCAGCAACAACCUGGGGAGAGGGGGAUGAAUGAGUCAAUUAUAAACUGUGGAUUAUGGUAUGAGUGUCAGCUUGGGAAUUUAGACAGGACACCAGAGUUAACACCCCUACAAUAAGUGCCAUGUGAUCUGUAGUGACCACAGAGAGUUAGGACACACGUUUAACAACCCAUCGGAACAACAGCACCCUGCACAGGGUUUAUUUUUUUUUUGACUUGAGGAAAGAGUGCCUCCUACUGGCCCACCAACACCACUUCCAGCAGCAUCUAGUCUCCCAUCCAGGGACCAACCCUGCUUAGCUUCAGAAGCAAGCUAGCAGUGGGAUGCAGGGUGGUAUGCUGCUGGCUAUCAAUUGCUGAAACCAGCACCUAUAUUUAAGCCUUGCAAUUUUUAUUUCAUGGUACAGCAUUUUUAUAAAUGUGUCACUGAACAAAAGUAUAAAUGUAACAAUUUAAUUUGA